AAUUUAAUCUCUGCAUUUUAGACUAACCUACAAAGACUGAAUCGAGUCAGCCUUGGGCUUUUUCACUGUCUGUAUCUUAGCCUGGAGGUCCAGAGUUCAACACCAACAGCAGUCACAUAAAUCCUUUCCAGGUGCCUUCAGUGUGCCUUUCUACUCUGACUUCUGGAGAUCAUAGCUAGAUGCAAAAUUACUCCCAGCUUUUUAUAAACCUUACAAUUUCCCCAGUGAUGUCAUCAUUUUGUUGUUGUUGUUGUCACAUCAAUUCCCCAGGCAAUCCUUUGGCCUCUCUAUAGGGAUGCCCAACAAGUUCACCAAGUACAAAAGUGUUAUGAUGUUUGCAGAUGGUCCCAUACCCACUAAGACCUGGACUGAGAGCAUCAGUUUGUUUCAUAGAGGACAAUGAAUAACUAUCAGAUGGACAUGACUAUUGUUUAAUGGAUUCAGGUUAAUGGCCUAGAAAUGAAAAGAUUUUUUUAUCCCACUACCAAACCCCAGAGCCAGAUCUGUCCUAUUCUUGGCUUUCCAUCAAGCUGUGGCUAAACUGAUUCUCCAAGAUGCUUUCAAAUUAUUUUGCCUGUCCUUUAAGACCUGGGGUCUCUUGGUUCUCUUAAGUUUUCCUCUCCCCCCUGUAUUUCAGGUGGAUCCUCCAAUGCUGUGAUAUGAAGCCUAAUGGGGCACAUUUUUAAUCAGGGCGAGUGUAGAGGAUGUCACGUUUUCCUCUCUUCUGACUAUAACAGGAGCUAUUCCUUUUGAGAAGCUGUUUCUUAGGAAAGCACAAGCAUCUGCAAAAUAUAUGAGCUCCAAAUGUGAACAGACAUGUAUCUAUCACUCAUAAUUUCCCUGUUUACUUGCAACAGCUUAAGAAAAAAUUAAAAACAAAGUAGAUUAAAUAUUUUUUUCAACUACAGCCAUAGUACCUAAGGCUGUGCAUUAGUGCAUUCUCAUUAUUUAAACCAGAUCAGCCUUAGUCAGUACUUCAAAGGGCUCCUUUUUACAUCCAGUGAAAAUCUAAGGUCCAAGUACUUCAGGUCCUGAUAACAUGUAUGCACUCUUCUCUCUCUUCAUGUUCAAUUCAUGCCCUAGUGUGGCAUUCAGAUAAUAUUGUACUAUGGAAAGGUACCCAUUCGGAUUGAAGCUGGCCAAAACAAGAGACAAUUUUUUCAUUCUAUUUAUCCUUUUGGAGUCAAAAAGAAAUUCAGUGAGUGAAACCCAGGAUUUUGCCACAAUUUUUUUUUUACAAAAAUAUUGAUACUUUUUAAUCAUGGAAGUAUUUUCACUUUUUAUAAUGUCCCUGUAUUUCACUGAAGGACAGAACAGAGCUCCAGAUCAUAUAUGGUCACUAAAGAUGCUCCAGCGCAUUUGGAAGGGCCAGGAUUGCAUGCCUGUAGACAAAUCAGAUUGAGUGCUUGUCCAGCUGUUAGCUCUUUCUUCUGCCUGUGGGUUUUUGGCAACCAGAGUAUGAUCUCUACAAAACUGGAAGAAUAUGUCAGACUUUAUUCAAAGUCUCAAAUACUUUGAGUCUACACUCAAAUGCUGGCAUAAAGACCCGAUAAUUUUCUGUCUAUUUAAAAUAGGCAUGAGGCUGAACCAUUCAGAUCAUUUGGACCAUUCAGACCUUUCUGAAAACAAUUCAAUCCUCACAUUAGAUUCACAUUGCACAGUGGAGACUGUACUAAAGGCAGCAGUCCAUCCCAUGACUGCAUUAAGACCAGAGAGUGAUGCUAGUCCUCAAAGCUGAGUUCAAUUAGUAGAGGAGCAAGAAAGACGGAGAGAAUUACAGGUUCUUUCCUAUGUCUGGCAAGUGAUAAAAAAAUCCUAUUGUAUUCAUUGCAGCCAAAUUCUGGAACCAUAUUGCAUCAUUCAGAAAGAAAAAUAUUCACAUUUGGAUCAUCCGGAUACAAACCCAUGAGCUUAUUUGAGUAAUUCUGUUUGAAGAAGUUGAAGAACAUUCAGACAUUUCUUCUACUAUUUGCCCAGGUAUACAUAAUACAUAUCCAGUAUUCAUAUAUUCAACCUUAAUACCCAUGCAGUUCUUGGAAAAUAUUAAUUGCUCUAUAAAGGCCAAGCAGAUCAUAUAAUUGUAUUUCAAUAUUUUACCCUAAACAGUUAGUACAGGUAAUUUUUUUUUUUUUUUUUUACAGACAAAGCAUUGCCAUUCAGACACUCCACUGGUGUAUAACACUCCACUGGUGUGAUUUUUCUUAAUCAGCUAGAUAUUCAGAAUAAAAACCUGGCCCUGUGGAAAUCAGUGAGAGUUUUGCCAUUGACUGCAAUGUGAUUCAGGAUUUCGCCCUUGAUGCAUAUGAUAUAUUUGUCAUGAUAUUUAGUAUGAUGUAAUGCACCUCAUUUUAAUAAUCCAAGUUAUAAAUAGUAUCUGUCAACUAGAGAAAACUUUAAAUCAAGCCUCAUGAAUCUUCAUGGGCACAACUUUGUUUCUGAGCAUUUUGCACUA